rnacentral:rRNA from 1 species
GAAGCAGUAUAAGCGAACUGCGAAUGGCUCAUUAUAUAAGUUAUCGUUUAUUUGAUAGUACCUUACUACUUGGAUAACCGUGGUAAUUCUAGAGCUAAUACAUGCUAAAAAUCCCGACUUCGGAAGGGAUGUAUUUAUUAGAUUAAAAACCAAUGCCCUCUGGGCUCCUUGGUGAUUCAUGAUAACUCUUCGAAUCGCACGGCCUUGCGCCGGCGAUGGUUCAUUCAAAUUUCUUCCCUAUCAACUUUCGAUGUUUGGGUAUUGGCCAAACAUGGUUGCAACGGGUAACGGAGGGUUAGGGCUCGACCCCGGAGAAGGAGCCUGAGAAACGGCUACUACAUCCAAGGAAGGCAGCAGGCGCGCAAAUUACCCAAUCCCGAUUCGGGGAGGUAGUGACAAUAAAUACUGAUACAGGGCUCUUUUGGGUCUUGUAAUUGGAAUGAGUACAAUUUAAAUCUCUUAACGAGGAACAAUUGGAGGGCAAGUCUGGUGCCAGCAGCCGCGGUAAUUCCAGCUCCAAUAGCGUAUAUUAAAGUUGUUGUGGUUAAAAAGCUCGUAGUUGAACCUUGGGCCUGGCUGGCCGGUCCGCCUCACCGCGUGCACUGGUCCGGCCGGGCCUUUCCCUCUGUGGAACCCCAUGCCCUUCACUGGGCGUGGCGGGGAAACAGGACGUUUACUUUGAAAAAAUUAGAGUGCUCCAGGCAGGCCUAUGCUCGAAUACAUUAGCAUGGAAUAAUGAAAUAGGACGCGUGGUUCUAUUUUGUUGGUUUCUAGGACCGCCGUAAUGAUUAAUAGGGACAGUCGGGGGCAUCAGUAUUCAAUUGUCAGAGGUGAAAUUCUUGGAUUUAUUGAAGACUAACUACUGCGAAAGCAUUUGCCAAGGAUGUUUUCAUUAAUCAGGAACGAAAGUUAGGGGAUCGAAGACGAUCAGAUACCGUCGUAGUCUUAACCAUAAACUAUGC